rfam:Jatropha curcas cultivar GZQX0401 scaffold170_87, whole genome shotgun sequence.
AAACUGUGAUGUGGACACUUUCUCAGUAAGUCCUUUGAAUCUUUCCCAAGCUUCAUACAAACUUUCUUGAUCAUGGUGGACAAAGGUCAUUAUCUCAUUGCGAAGUUU